rnacentral:lncRNA from 1 species
GGGCGACGUGGUGGGGUCCAUUUGUAGGUUGUGGAGGAUUUGAUCUUUUGCUCUUGGAAAUAAAUCUUGCUGCUGCGCGCGCUCUCUCUCUGGGUGCAUGCUGCUUUUAAGAGCUGUGAUACUCACCAGGAAGGUCCGUGGUUUCAUUCUGGAAGUCAGCGAGACCAAGAACCCACCAGAAGGAACCAACUACAGACACACUGCUAUAUGUAAGCUUCUUGGGAGCAGGGUCUUGGUUUUUUUUCUUUCUUUCCUUCUUUUCUUCUUAACUUUCCCCCUUCCCCUUCCCUUUCGCCUUUCCUUCCUUUCCUUCCUUUUUUUUUUGAGACGUAGUCUUGCUCUGUUGCCCAGGCUGGAGCCCAGUGGCACAAUCUCCCCUCAUUGCAACCUUUGCCUCCAGAGUUCAAGUAGUUCUCCUGCCUCUGCCUCCCGAGUAGGUGGGAUUACAGGUGCCUGCCACCACACCUGGGUCCAGCUAUGUACAAACUGAAUCAAGAUUCUAUGUACAUCAGAAUCAAGAGAGAGUGAGUUCUUGACAUCACGGAGCGGUCUACAUUCUAGUUCAUGCGGUGGACCUGCUGGGUGGCCUCAGAGGUACCUUUCAAAUGCUGGCCCAGAAAGGUGAGGCAAGGAGGGGACCUGGCCUCCAUCUCUGUGAAUCCCACAGCCCUCCUCCUGAGAUCUGCAGGGGUAGCAUGAAAUAUUUAAAAGCUCAAAUUGAAAUCUUGUUAGAGCCAGGUCUUGUAAAGCCAAGUUCUCCAACCCCAGAACAUCAGUAUCUGUUUGCUGGUGUCAUUUAGGGACCCCGGCUUUCCAAACCAUUGACUGAAACUUUCUGUCAAUCCAACACUUUUAGGGUAAUUUAACUUAAUAAUACCUUUGUCGGCACUGGCGCCUGUAUCUGAAGGGUGAUUACCAUAGAAGUUAUUUUAGGUUGUUUAAUGGAAUGUAGUAAAUUCUCAAUUGACAGGGCAGAUCCUCAAAAUGGCUUUUCAAAGUGUUUACCUUUCAAAGCUUUCUCCCUCACUUUACCGAACUUACUACUUUGAGCCAGCGAAGACUUCAUAAAUUAUUAGCAAUUGUUCUCCCCCCUGUGUUCACAUGCAUCAUUAAUUCUUUGUAAAAAGUUCAAACUGUCCGGGGCUUAAUUGUUAUCACUUGGAGAACGGCUAGAAAUGGAUGCAGGCUGUAUUAUUUCUGUCAAAAAUUUUGACUUAUUGCUCUUGAUAUUUUACCCAUCACAUCACAUCCUCGGUACAGGAGAGAGGAAAAAGGAGAGGGGGAGGAGAAAGAACAUAAAUGCGUUUUCUUGAAACAAAACAAAUAUAAUAAUACAUAUAUUUCUGAGGAGAAAAGUCAAGGAUUCAUCUGACAAAAUAAUAGUUUUAAUCCUCCAAAGAGAGAGGAGGAGGGCAGCAUUAGGGGGAAAUUUCUAUUGUAAAUUCUAUUGCUUCACACUGUACUUUUAUUCUAAGUUUUGAAGGUUGUAUAAUUCUAGGAAUCUAAUGUUUAACGAUUCUGAGAUAUUGAAAUUUUAUGAGUCCAAAUUCCCAAGGUGUUUGAUUUUAAGGAUAAAUUAAUCCCACCGUCCAGUAUUCAGGACUGCUAAAAAGUAUAGUAGAAUUAGAAAGAUAUUGACAAUAACCACAGAAAUAGCUAAGCUUUGUUGAGACCUUAACCAUAUGCAGGCACUGUGCUGAGUGCUUCAUGUGCAGCACCUUAUUUUAUUUUAUUUUAUUUUAUUUUAUUUUUUUGCUUUUGCUAAUUUUUUAAAAUUGUACUUUAAGUUCUGGGGUACAUGUGCAGAACGCGCAGGUUUGUUACAUAGGUAUACACAUGCCAGGGUGGUUUGCUGCACCCAUCAACCUGUCAUCUACAUUAGGUAUUUCUCCUAAUGCUGUCCCUCCCCUAGCCCCUCAUCCCCCAACAGGCCCCAGUGUGUGAUGUUCCCCUCCCUGUGUCCAUGUAUUCUCUUUGUUCAAUGCCCACUUAUGAGUGAGAACAUGCGGUGUUUGGUUUUCUGUUCUUGUGUUAGUUUGUUGAGAAUGAUUGUUUCCAGGUUCAUCCAUGUCCCUGUGAUCCCAUUACUGGGUAUGUGUCCAAAAGAUUAUAAAUCAUUCUACUAUAAAGACACAUGCACACGUAUGUUUAUUGCAGCACUGUUCACAGUAGCAAAGACUUGGAACCAACCCAAAUGCCCAUCAAUGAUAGACUGGAUAAAGAAAAUGUGGCACAUAUACAUGAUGGAAUACUAUGUAGCAGCACCUUAUUUAAUCUUCAUGUCACUGUAAAGUAGGUACUGUUAUUAACCCCUUAUAUAGCUGGGAAAACUGAGGCACAGAGAGGGUAAGUAACUUACUCAGGGACACACAGCUGGUAAAAAGCAGAGUUAAACUCUGACUUCAGGCCCUGUGUGUGUAGAACUUAACGUAUAUUGUGCCCCAUCUCAAGACACUGCUCUUUUGCCCCACCUGGCAUGCUGUGGAUCAGUGUAGAAGUGAUCCACAUUGGUAUAUGAGUCUAUUGUCAGACUACCCCUGAGGCAACCCAGCCCUGACCUGCUUUUUGUUUGUGUUGACGUUGCUCAUCCAGUCCAGCAGAUCACCCUUUCCCAUACAUUCUACAAGGUCAUCUCCUCCAAGAAGGCUUCAGUCCUGCCGCACCAUCCUUUGAAUCCUCACAACAGUUGGUACCAGGGAAAGGGAUAAUGAGGCAGUCUAGUAGGCUGGCCAAAAGCAUGGACUAUGGGGUCAGAUCCCUUCGGUUGGGAUCUUACUUCUGCCAGUAAAUCCAUGCGCUAAGCUUCAGUUAGGCAAGCCAUUUCAGCCUCAGCUUUCACAUCUGUAAAAUGGAUAUAACCACCCCUGCCUCACAGAACUGUUGUGAAGAGGAAGGGAGGUGCUCCAAGGGAGCUCUGUUUACUGCUUCACAACAGUCAGUGCUGAAUACAUGUUGGCUGUUGUUCUCUCUUGUCUUGUAGUGAUCUCGUACUGAGAGUUUUGUACAUUAAAGUAUAAGAGUCAGUAUUUUUUUUCCUAGUCAACAUUUAUUUUCAAUGAGAUUUGGAAAUUUCCUUACCAAAUAAUUCAAGGUGAAAGUAUAUUAAACUAUAUUUUUAAAAAUUGUAUUUUUGACAAGUGACCAUUAUAUAUAUUUAUGAGGUACAAUGAGAUGUUUUGAUUAUGUUUAUCUUGUGCAAUGAUUAAAUCAAGCUAAUUAACACAUCACCUCAUUUACUUAUCAUUUUUUGUGGUGAAAGCAUUUAAAAUCUUGUUUUUUUAGCAAUUUUGAAAUUAUAUAUUGCAUUAUUGUUUAUUAUUGUCAUCAUUCUGUACAAUAGGUCACUGAAGCUUAUUCCUUCUGUCAGCUGAAACUUUGUACCCUUUGAUCACUCUCUCCUCUUUCUCUACCCACCUGCUUCCCCCAGCCUCUGGUAACCACCAUUCUACGCUCUCAACUUCUUUAGAUUUCACAUAUAACUGAGAUCAUGCAGUGUGUGUCUUUCUGUGUCUGGCUUAUUUCACUUGGCCUAAUGUUCUCCAGGUUCACUGAAGCAAAUGACAGGAUUUCCCUCAUUGUAAAGGCUAAGUUGUAUUCCAUUGUGUACAUACACCACAUUUUUUUAAUCCAUUCAUCUGAUGUUGGACAUUAAGGUUGCUUCCAUAUCUUAACUAUUGUGAAUUACAUUUCAAUGAACAUAGGAGUGGAAAUAUCUCUUGGGCAUAGGAUUUCAAUUCCUUUGGAUAUACACCCCACAUGGUAAUCCUAUUUUUAGUUUUCUGAGGAACUCCCAUACUGUUUUCCAUAAUGGCUGUAUUAAUUUACUUUCCCACCAACAGUGCACAAGGGUUCACUUUUUCCAUACCCACAUCAACUUAUUAUGUCUUUUUGAUAAUAGUAUUCUAACAAGUUGUGAUGAUAUAUCAUUGUGGUUUUAAUUUGCAUUUCCCUGAUGAUUAGCGAUGACCAGCACUUUUUAAUUCCUCAUUUGUCCAUUCGUAGAUCUUCUUCUGAGAAGUGUCUAUUUAGGUCCUUAGCUAAUUUUUUGAUUGGGUUAUUUAUUUUCUUGUUAUUGAGUUGUGUUUCUUAUAUAUUUUUUAUGUUAGCUCCUUAUCUGAUGUA